rnacentral:rRNA from 1 species
UACGUAGGGUGCAAGCGUUGUCCGGAAUUAUUGGGCGUAAAGAGCUCGUAGGCGGUUUGUCGCGUCUGCUGUGAAAAUCCGAGGCUCAACCUCGGGCCUGCAGUGGGUACGGGCAGACUAGAGUGCGGUAGGGGAGAUUGGAAUUCCUGGUGUAGCGGUGGAAUGCGCAGAUAUCAGGAGGAACACCGGUGGCGAAGGCGGGUCUCUGGGCCGAUACUGACGCUGAGACGCGAAAGCGUGGGGAGCGAACAGG